rnacentral:rRNA from 1 species
CCUACGGGAGGCAGCAGUGGGGAAUAUUGCACAAUGGGCGCAAGCCUGAUGCAGCCAUGCCGCGUGUGUGAAGAAGGCCUUCGGGUUGUAAAGCACUUUCAGCGGGGAGGAAGGCGUUAAGGUUAAUAACCUUGGCGAUUGACGUUACCCGCAGAAGAAGCACCGGCUAACUCCGUGCCAGCAGCCGCGGUAAUACGGAGGGUGCAAGCGUUAAUCGGAAUUACUGGGCGUAAAGCGCACGCAGGCUGUCUGUCAAGUCGGAUGUGAAAUCCCCGGGCUCAACCUGGGAACUGCAUUCGAAACUGGCAGGCUAGAGUCUUGUAGAGGGGGGUAGAAUUCCAGGUGUAGCGGUGAAAUGCGUAGAGAUCUGGAGGAAUACCGGUGGCGAAGGCGGCCCCCUGGACAAAGACUGACGCUCAGGUGCGAAAGCGUGGGGAGCAAACAGGAUUAGAUACCCGGGUAGUC